rnacentral:misc_RNA from 1 species
UUGACCGCGGUACGGUCCAGACCGCCAAGUAUGCAGCAGCACGCACCAAAGCCGGCAAGCUGGUGUCCGUCGCCGGCGGCGGCGACACCGUUGCGGCGUUGAACCACGCUGGCGUGGGCCGCGAUUUCACCUACGUUUCGACCGCAGGCGGCGCCUUUCUGGAGUGGAUGGAAGGGAAACCUUUGCCCGGCGUCGAAGUUUUGAGAGUACGCUAAAUUUUCAACGGAUCUGGCGCCAUUGGCGCUGC